UACAGAGGUCCCAAGCGUUGUUCGGAUUCACUGGGCGUAAAGGGUGCGUAGGCGGUCGGGUAAGUCUGAUGUGAAAUCUCAGAGCUCAACUCUGAAACUGCAUUGGAUACUAUUCGGCUAGAGGUCUGGAGGGGGGACUGGAAUUCUCGGUGUAGCAGUGAAAUGCGUAGAUAUCGAGAGGAACACCAGUGGCGAAGGCGAGUCCCUGGACAGGUCCUGACGCUGAGGCACGAAAGCUAGGGGAGCAAACAGG
rnacentral:rRNA from 1 species